rnacentral:rRNA from 1 species
UACGGGGGGGGCAAGCGUUGUUCGGAGUUACUGGGCGUAAAGGGCGCGUAGGCGGUCCGCUAAGUUGGAUGUGAAAACUCUGGGCUUAACCCAGAGCCUGCAUUCAAAACUGACGGGCUAGAGUUCUGGAGGGGGUAGCGGAAUUCCUGGUGUAGCGGUGAAAUGCGUAGAUAUCAGGAGGAACAUCAGUGGCGAAAGCGGCUUCCUGGUCCAGCACCGACGUUCAGGCACGAAAGCGUGGGGAGCAAACAGG